rnacentral:rRNA from 1 species
GCGUGCCUAAUACAUGCAAGUCGAGCGGACAGAUGGGAGCUUGCUCCCUGAUGUUAGCGGCGGACGGGUGAGUAACACGUGGGUAACCUGCCUGUAAGACUGGGAUAACUCCGGGAAACCGGGGCUAAUACCGGAUGGUUGUUUGAACCGCAUGGUUCAGACAUAAAAGGUGGCUUCGG